rnacentral:rRNA from 1 species
GACGAACGCUGGCGGCGUGCUUAACACAUGCAAGUCGAACGGAGUGGCGAACGGGUGAGUAACACGUGGGUGACCUGCCCUGCACUUCGGGAUAAGCCUGGGAAACUGGGUCUAAUACCGGAUAGUGUGGGAUGGGCCCGGGGCCUAUCAGCGUGUUGGUGGGGUAAGGGCCUACCAAGGCGGCGACGGGUCGCCGGCCUGAGAGGGUGGACGGCCACAUGGGGACUGAGACACGGCCCAGAGUCGUACGGGAGGCAGGAGGGGCGAAUAGUGCACAAUAGGCGGAAGACGGAUGCAGCGACGCCGCGUGGGGGAUGACGGCCUUCGGGUUGUAAACUCCUUUCACCAUAGAAGCGGUAGAUGGAGAAGAAGCACCGGCUAACUACGUGCCAGCAGCCGCGGUAAUAC